rnacentral:rRNA from 1 species
ACAUGCAAGUCGAACGGCAGCACGGGGGCAACCCUGGUGGCGAGUGGCGAACGGGUGAGUAAUACAUCGGAACGUGCCCAUGUCGUGGGGGAUAACGUAGCGAAAGCUACGCUAAUACCGCAUACGAUCUACGGAUGAAAGCGGGGGAUCGCAAGACCUCGCGCGAUUGGAGCGGCCGAUGGCAGAUUAGGUAGUUGGUGGGGUAAAGGCUCACCAAGCCGACGAUCUGUAGCUGGUCUGAGAGGACGACCAGCCACACUGGGACUGAGACACGGCCCAGACUCCCACGGGAGGCAGCAGUGGGGAAUUUUGGACAAUGGGCGCAAGCCUGAUCCAGCCAUUCCGCGUGCAGGAUGAAGGCCCUCGGGUUGUAAACUGCUUUUGUACGGAACGAAACGGCCUUUUCUAAUACAGAGGGCUAAUGACGGUACCGUAAGAAUAAGCACCGGCUAACUACGUGCCAGCAGCCGCGGUAAUACGUAGGGUGCAAGCGUUAAUCGGAAUUACUGGGCGUAAAGCGUGCGCAGGCGGUUAUGUAAGACAGUUGUGAAAUCCCCGGGCUCAACCAGGGAACUGCCUCUGUGACUGCCUAGCUAGAGUAGGGUAGAGGGGGAUGGAAUUGCGCGUGGAGCCGUGAAAU